rnacentral:rRNA from 1 species
GGCUGCACGAACGUUGGAAACAGCGGUUAGGAGCUUACACCCACCCGUGUUUACAUACUAUUGUUGCUUUGGCGGGCCGUGGCCUCCACUGCGGGCUCUGCUCGUGUGUGCCCGCCAGAGAACCAAACUCUGAAUGUUAGUGAUGUCUGAGUACUAUCUAAUAGUUAAAACUUUCAACAACGGAUCUCUUGGUUCUGGCAUCGAUGAAGAACGCAGCGAAAUGCGAUAAGUAAUGUGAAUUGCAGAAUUCAGUGAAUCAUCGAAUCUUUGAACGCACAUUGCGCCCUGUGGUAUUCCGCAGGGCAUGCCUGUUCGAGCGUCAUUUAACCACUCACGCCUAGCGUGGUAUUGGGGCACGCGGUCUCCGCGGCCCUCAAAAUUAGUGGCGGCGCCGGUGGGCUCUAAGCGUAGUACAUACUCCCGCUAUAGAGUUCCCCCGGUGGCUCGCCAGAACCCCCAAUUUUUACAGGUUGACCUCGGAUCAGGUAGGGAUA